GUCCCGGGGCAGCUAAUGGUCGGGUCCAGGCGGGAGGCCAUGUUUGCUGGAAUUAAAGCGGGCGGGGCGGCGCCAGCGAGCAGAUGCGGCUGGAGGCGCGCGGGAGCCGGGUGCGAGCAGGGCGCAGCGGCGAGGGAGGCGCGGGGGAGGCCAGCGGGAGCCGGGGCGCCAGCAGCAGCCUGCAUCGGCGGAGAGCAGCCGGGCGCAGCCGGAGCCGCAGUCGCCAUGGCCGUGGCUGUGGGGAGACCGAGUAAUGAAGAGCUUCGAAACUUAUCACUUUCUGGCCAUGUUGGAUUUGACAGUCUUCCUGACCAGCUGGUCAACAAGUCCACUUCUCAAGGAUUCUGUUUCAACAUCCUGUGUGUGGGUGAAACAGGUAUUGGCAAAUCCACAUUGAUGGACACGUUAUUCAACACCAAAUUUGAAAGUGACCCAGCUUCUCACAAUGAGCCUGGUGUGCGGUUAAAAGCCAGAAGUUAUGAACUUCAGGAAAGCAACGUACGGCUGAAGCUGACCAUUGUUGACACGGUGGGAUUUGGAGACCAGAUUAAUAAAGAUGACAGCUAUAAGCCUAUCGUGGAAUAUAUUGAUGCCCAGUUUGAGGCGUACUUGCAAGAGGAAUUGAAAAUUAAACGUUCUCUCUUCAACUACCAUGACACGAGGAUUCACGCCUGCCUUUACUUCAUUGCCCCCACGGGACAUUCACUGAAGUCCUUGGACCUGGUCACAAUGAAGAAACUCGACAGCAAGGUGAACAUCAUUCCAAUAAUUGCAAAAGCUGACACCAUCGCCAAGAACGAACUGCACAAAUUCAAGAGUAAGAUCAUGAGUGAACUAGUGAGCAACGGAGUCCAGAUCUAUCAGUUCCCCACAGACGAGGAAACCGUGGCCGAGAUUAACGCGACCAUGAGUGUUCAUCUCCCAUUUGCAGUGGUUGGCAGCACCGAAGAGGUGAAGAUUGGCAACAAGAUGGCCAAGGCCAGGCAGUACCCCUGGGGUGUGGUGCAGGUUGAGAACGAAAACCACUGUGACUUUGUGAAGCUGAGGGAGAUGCUGAUCCGAGUGAACAUGGAAGACUUGCGAGAGCAGACGCACACUCGCCACUAUGAGUUGUAUCGGCGCUGUAAGCUCGAGGAGAUGGGCUUCAAGGACACCGACCCCGACAGCAAGCCCUUCAGUCUUCAGGAGACAUAUGAAGCCAAAAGGAAUGAAUUCCUGGGAGAGCUGCAGAAGAAAGAGGAGGAGAUGAGGCAGAUGUUUGUCAUGAGAGUGAAGGAGAAAGAGGCGGAGCUUAAGGAGGCGGAGAAGGAGCUUCACGAGAAGUUUGACCUCCUGAAGCGGACACACCAAGAGGAGAAGAAAAAAGUGGAAGACAAGAAGAAGGAGCUUGAGGAGGAGGUGAGCAACUUCCAGAAGAAGAAGGCCGCAGCUCAGCUCUUGCAAUCCCAGGCCCAGCAGUCUGGGUCCCAGCAAACCAAGAAGGACAAGGAUAAGAAAAAUGCAAGCUUCGCGUAAAAGGCCUGGCAAGCCAAGGACGCUCCCGCACUCACCUGCUUUUGCAGUAGUAGCGUACCUCUGUCAUCCGCGUCCUGUUUGGUUUCGUUGUCUCUCCCUUCCCCAGAUACCAGUAACUCCUAGCUCACUUUGCUGAAUGUUGUCAGGUGGUGGAGACCCAUAGAACAAGGGGAUCUCGGCAGACGCGUGCGUGUGGCUGGACUUUGUUUCUGGAAAGUCAAUGAUCUGCCUUGUAUGCCUGUCCCAAGUGGCAGCAGGAAGCAUGUCUGUCAUUCGUAUGUCGCUUUGGACCAAGGAAAGCAGGGUAAAAUGCUACCUGUACGUCUGACGUGAAAACUCACCACCUCAGCAGCUGAACUAAAACCCUGAAUAGCCAUGACAACAACCUGCAUUCUCUUGAUUGUUCGUCUCAGGCUCGCCAGCCCCCUCCCCCCACUUCACUGUCUCUUCACACUUGCCCCAAACCAAAGGUGGCCAUGAAAGGAGGCAGAAUGGUGAGCGGGCACCAUAGGUGGCUUUUCACCUGUAUGAUUUUUUUUUUUCCAUUUAAUCACUCCGGUAUUUGGUCCGAGCCUGUGAGCUGCUUAGACCAUCUUAGGGACACAGUGGGCAUCUGAAUGCCCACUUCAAAGCCCGGCCAAAGCUGCUGGGGAAUGCUCACCUCCACCAGGGUGUCCCCGCCUGACACUUUCCCAGGUCCAGAUCUCAAAGACCGCCUGAAAGAGUUUGGCCUAGCUGUUAAGGAUGCUGGAUCCCCACUUAGAGCGAGGGGAUCGUCCCUACCCCUCCCCUAUCCCCUCCCUGUACACCUGCAUUUGCUUUAAGCCAGCUGAGGGGAGACCUGGAGGCUGAUUCCCAAGUAUGGCUCCUUCUCAUAGAAAUUUUCAUGAAUCGCAGUGAGAAAACUGCUCCAAAUACUUCAAAUAGGAAACCUGCUCUACAUUGCAUUGCCCGUAGCACAAACCUGCAAGGCUGUCCUCAGGUUAAGGGAGGGAGCGAGCACAGUGCAGUUGUGCAAAGUAGAGACAGACGAGGCUGACCACCACCAUCAGUUCCCGCUCCCUGCUGACACUGAAACUCAGCUGCCUUUAAGGACUUUUGCUCGCUUGUCCCCUUACUGUGAUUAGGGCCGCCUGCUCUGUCUCUGGGGCCAUCAGUUAGGCCACCUGACUCUGGAUCAGGACAUGCCCUGCCUGCCUGCUGUGCAAGAAGGGAGAAGGGCACGUGUCUAUCCUGUCCCCUUUUCCUUCUGCUGUUCAUCCUGUCAUCUGCGUGGCUGUCCCCUUCUAACCAGACCCCCAGCUUUCCCCUCUCUCACAUUUCUCAUGGACCCAGUCCUUUGCCUUUACAUCUCCUCUCUGAUGUCACCAGUUACACGUUAAUGGGGUAAAGCACGCUACAUUUCCCACUUGAAAACAAAAUUGUCCAGCAAGCCCGGUCUGAUCCUGGCCAAGUUUUUAGGUUUUCCUUUUCUUCAUCUCCCAAUCAUAAGAAAAAAGCAGUGCCCUUUCAUAAACUGACUUAGGCUUCAUUAGGCAAAGCAAGGCCAUUGGCUUCACAGGGGUGCAAGCCAGGGUGGCCCAGAAGCCACAGAGCAGCCGUAGCAGCCAUCUUCGGCAGGGGAGGGAGGAGCUCCUACACGGACCCUGGCUUUGCUUCCAUUUUCCCAGCUAGCUGUGGAGCAGCAGGUACUAAUGGCAUGCUGGCUAACCGUGGCUGCGUCUGCUUCUUCACUGGGCACCACACAAGAGCUUGAGCAUUUGUGUUGUACUUUUGUUCCAACCACUGCUUGUGUGAGCAUUUUCUUUGUUUCUUUCUCUGUGCCUUGUAAUAGAAAGUACCCCUUUGCAUUUGAUUCUCAAAUCUCUAAAAGCUUUUUAAGAUAAGCUAAGAAGGGAAAAAAAAAUCCAAUUGACUUUUUGAUGCCAAGAUUAUUGAUUGAAUUAAUUUUUUUUCACAGUAAAAUAAAUUCUACGGAGAGUCAGGGAAUAAAAAGCUAAGAGAAUCCUUAAAAAAGCUUAAACGAACAAAAAGCAUUGCUUCUGAAAUGAUUCUCUCCCACCUCCACUCCCAAGCCUCCUGGAGCUUGUUACUGCUGCUCUUUUCUUUCCGUAUCUAUGCCUUUCUUCACAGUAGUCCCUGGCUCUGCACGGAAUAAACGAUACUCUCAAAUCUAAUCGGACGUGCUUUCGCCUCUGCAUCUGACCAUCUGCCUCUUGAGAGAAAGAAGUGGGCAUCUACCUUUAAAUUCAGGAACCAUUUUUCAUUUGACUCUGUUACCUGCAUCCCUUCCAUAAGCUGUUUGGGGAGGGCGUUCUGCUCGUUUUUUGGGGGCCGGGGAAUUCCAUCUAGCCAAUCCUGCUUUCUGUAUUUGUUAUUCAGACUUACUUUUGGUAUCAAAUUAUGCCCUUCCUAAGCUCACUUCAAGGGGAACUUCUGUUUACUAUGUUCUUAUCUUAGAUGCAAUUUGAAAAUGCCCCUUUUUGUUACUAGAGUUUUGAUCUAUGUUUGAAUUGUGCCAGUGUUGGGUAAAUGACUUUUCUGCCUCUGGGGCUCAAUUUAUAUUUAAAGAUAUCUUAAAAUAUUUCUGGCCCAUCCCUGCUUUUGUAUUUGUUGUGAAGCUCUGCUUUACCCCCGUCCAUGGUUUUAUUUAUUUAUUUUUUUCCUUUUUUUAAAGCAUGAAAUGAACACUAAACAUGAACAUAUUCCUCCCAGGUAAUUGCAUCAGUAGCGGAGGUUCAAUUCAUUUCUUCUCAAAGGGGCUCACAUGGCUUUCUCCACAGUGUCUGUAAAAGGCCUGCCAAAAAUCAAAGCGUUUGCACCAGAUCCCUUAAAAUUCACCCACAUCUACAAACACUUGUACCAGUUGAGUGUUUGAUUGCCAGUACUGACCUAUCUAUGCUGAGCUAGGCUACCUCUCAAAGUCAGAGGGCAACUUCCAGAUACCUAUCUAGCUAAUCCAACUAUCCAAAUUCCUAUCUGUAAUGAAUGGUGGAAGCGACCUUCCAAAUUCACUACUUGUCUAUAACUUUGCUUGUUUGCACCUUAAAAAUAUUUUUAUCUCUGUAGGGAAUGGCUCAUGGCCCUGGUUUGAGUUGCAUUUGGUCAGAAUCUUUUUGGGUGGUCCCCUCCGUGAGUAAGGUACAGUACUUCUGUGGGCCAUUGAAGACACAGUAGACCUUUGCCACUCUUAUUCCUGCAAAGAGGUCCCUUAGAGCAGUCGGUUGAGUUUGUUGACAAGCAGCUUGUGUUACUAGAAAGUAUUUCUAAAUGUAAGUAAAGUCAGUCUCACUGGAGCUAGUAAGCAACCCAAAUGUCCCUUCACAGUAUGCAGUGGCAGACAUUCAGGACUGUAACUAUUGGAAGGGUUAUGGGUACCAACUCUGAUAGCAGAAUAUAGCGUUGCUAUGUUAAACACGAGAUCAUGUUGAAACUACUAAGUACAAUUCACUUUAUUCUGAACUUCUUAUAAUCAUUUAAUAUCAAUUUCAUACCAUCAUUCAUUUUAAGAAGCAUCGUUUCAGGUCAUAGUUUGAGCAAUGUUUAAAAAUCAAGUCAGGCAGCAGGAUUUUGCCCAAGAAGAGUGUGUAGUUUCAUUGCUCUUCCUUUGUUCUAAGAGCCUAGCUGAGAAGUGAGUGGGGUCAUCUUCAUUGGAUCAGGGAGUUCCAAGAAGGCUCGCUUCCAUUCAGUGACCACAGGGAAUCUGGUUGCAGACAUCACUGGCCAAGUGCCUUGGGGUCUCUCUCCUAAGAUUGACAGCUACUGGUGUGGCAUUUUGCUUCACGUGGCUCUGUUUCUCAAAUAUUGAUAAAUAUUGGGUCCUGAGGUCCUCCUGUAAAAUUAUGCUGAGGACAAUCACUGGCAAUAAUAAAUGUACUGGCUUGCCUUAAUUUAAAUUAUGGAAAGAAAAACAGAAUUGAAUCACUAGAACCUGUUUCUGCUGGUGACAACCUUUUUAUUUUUCACUCAAAUUUUAAAAGGCUAUUAGUUUCAAAUACUUGCUUAUCCAAGUAUUGUCUAGGUGUUCUACUUGGAAUCAGCAUAGUCCAUUAUGAAAGAGAAAUACAUCCUGAGUUAGUGUAUGCUGAGCUUGGACAGAGAGAGAGAGAGAGAGAGGCCCAUUUCUCAUACUUGACCAAAUAACCAAACAUUUCACCAUCAAUGGUACCAAUUCUAAGAAACUUUCUUCUGAGUUGUUUUUGGUUUAUGAUCAAAACAGACUUCAGGGCAAACAUUUUCUGGAUGUCUUAAAAAAUACACAAUUGUGAUUCCAUUUAAUGACCUACACAAGGCCUGUUACUUUACAGAUACCCGCCUUUCUGCCAUGGAGAUCAACAGGGCACUGAGGCUUCUUCUAAAGUCCUUGAGCAUGAAUGCUUAUAGUAACACCUAGUCCAUUUACACCAGCUACUAGUAAGCAACCGCCAUACCCAGACUAGUGAAAGGAACGUAUAUUCAUUUGAGAAGAUCAUGAGCCUAAAUGCCCAACCUCCCCUCCCCCCAUCACUAUUCUUGACUGGUAAAUCUGCUGGGUGUCCACAGGACACCGAGAUGCAAAAACAAAAACAAAACAAAACAAAAACCCACAUCUGCCUCAUUGCUGGUGGUCCCUUUCAGCCCACCAUGGAAACCUGUGGCUCCCACAUGCAUGAAGCAGAGACUAUUACCUUAAGCUUGUACCUUUCCCACAAAGUACAACUUCAUGUGUGCUCGGGAAGGAUUAACACUCCAUAAAAGGCUGGGCUUGGCACGUUUUCUCUGCAGAGCCGCGGGGGCAGCUCUCCUAGCCAUCUGUACUUAUUCUUCCCUGCUUUCCAAUACUUACUGUGUGCCAUGUGCCUAGCACACAGUUACUUGUACUUAUCCUGUGCUCCUCCUGAGCACAGCAAGCGUGGAGCAAAGGAAAGUGGUGUGCCAUGUCCCUUACUCAUCUAAGACAGACCUUAUUCUGAAAAGCAGUAGGGCUCCACCCUCCCACAGACACGGUUCAUGAUUGUUUGCUAAUGCGUCCCUACUCUUAACGAAGUAAACUGUUUCCACUAAA